GGAUGUGAGGGCAAUUGAGCUGUGACACUUGUCACCCCAGUGAUGCCCAGGGUUGAUUGGGCUGAUUUGGCUGGCUAGGCAGAUGUUCCCUUUCUCCUUCACUGCUCCAUGUAUGCCCUUCCAAUGCUCAAUCGAAAAGGAUGAUGACUCUGGUGAGAAGAGGACCGUUUCCUUGGGCUUUCUUUCUCUCAAUAAAUAUAUUCUACUCUUAACCUCCAUUGUU
ensembl:misc_RNA 7SK 7SK RNA